rnacentral:rRNA from 1 species
UACAGAGGGUGCGAGCGUUGUUCGGAAUUACUGGGCGUAAAGCGCACGUAGGCGGUCUUUUAAGUCGGGGGUGAAAUCCUGGAGCUCAACUCCAGAACUGCCUUCGAUACUGGAAGACUCGAGUCCGGGAGAGGUGAGUGGAACUGCGAGUGUAGAGGUGAAAUUCGUAGAUAUUCGCAAGAACACCAGUGGCGAAGGCGGCUCACUGGCCCGGUACUGACGCUGAGGUGCGAAAGCGUGGGGAGCAAACAGG